GGUGAACCUGCGGAGGGAUCAUUACUGAGUGAGGGCCCACGCCCGACCUCCAAC
rnacentral:rRNA from 1 species